rnacentral:rRNA from 1 species
GGAUUCCCCUAGUAACGGCGAGUGAAGCGGGAUGAGCUCAAGCUUAAAAUCUCCGUGCAAAUUUUGCAUGGCGAAUUGUAGUCUAUAGAGGCGUGGUCAGUAUGAGCACUUGGGGUAAGUUCCUUGGAAGAGGACAGCAUGGAGGGUGAUACUCCCGUUCAUCCCUCAGUUGCUUAUGCGUACGACCCGUUUUCUUUGAGUCGCGUUGUUUGAGAAUGCAGCGCAAAGUAGGUGGUAAAUUCCAUCUAAAGCUAAAUAUUGGUGCGAGACCGAUAGCAUACAAGUACCGUGAGGGAAAGAUGAAAAGAACUUUGAAAAGAGAGUUAAAGAGUACCUGAAACUGCUGAAAGGGAACCAAAUCGUUUCCAGUGUCUAUAAUCCGUGGUAUAUUUCAUCGGCGAGUGUGUGCGUGCGUGUGCUGUUGCAGUGGCCUUUGGUUGCGCUCGGCGUGUGUGUUGUGUAUGCUUGCUGGUGCCCUGUGCUGCGGUGGGACGUCAAGGUCAGUUUGUAUGCUGCGGGAAAUAGUUACCGAGGAGGUAGGGCUUACGCUUGCGUUUGUCUGUUAUAUCUUGGUGGACGAGUUGUCGCGGUUGAGACUGAGGUGCCUACAACGUGCUUUUGAGUGGGCUUGGGUCUCUGUGUGCGCCGUGUGCGGAUAGCUUGCUAUGCGUUUGUGGUUGUGUGUGGAUUGAUGCGAGCCGUAACUUGUAGUCGUUCGGGACGUUGACGAAAU